AUUAUUUGUUCAGUGUGAAUGAGCACAGAUACUGGAUGCUUUCUUUCCUCCAUCCUGCUCACUGAGCAGUGAUGAUGCAUAUUUGGAAUAAGUGCACAUCUAAAGGGCACAAACAGUGAAGCUGUGAACUCUCUGCAGUCACUCCAUCAUCUAAAGACACUGUGGAUGUGACACAGAGAGGAAACUCGGCUUUUCUUCCUGCUCUUUCUCUCGCUUCACUUUCCUGUUAAACUUUGGAAGCACAAAUCAAAGACAGUCAGAGGAACUCAGCCAGACCAGCUACUGCUCCAUCUACAGGUGGAGAGCACCACCCACGUGUCUUUAGGAGAACCAGAGUCACAAAGUAACAGAGUGAAGAGCAGCAGAUGAAGCACAGAGGACACAAAAAGGAAGGAAAGAAGGAAACAAGGUCCAUCUGUGUCCUUUCAAAUAAGCAUCAAGGUUUCAUAUCUAAUGAAUAUAAAGCUGUGACCUAGAACCAGCUGGAAACACACAGUUCAUACAGAAGUGAUUUUAUCACAAUAUAUAUCAGGAAAUCAUUCAGUCUUCAUGGAUCCACAUUGAUGACACGGCACAGUUACAUCCUGGUGUCACUGAUGUGUCGGGUUCCUGGUGUAUUUAAACCCUCAUGUUCUCUCUGCUCAGCGUCAUUGUUGAUGUUAAUGUGCUCGACUCUGUACAUGUGUUCGCUUCAGUCAUUUCAGCUCAGCCAGUCAUCCUGUGUUCGUGAUAAUAAACACCAGCCUUCACCUACCUGUGAGUCCUUUCCUCACCCACACAGCAACCACUGACAUGAUGGGGACCACCUACUGUGGGGACUGUUCCCAGUCGGGCUUGCAAAGCGGCAGCUCUGCUUGGAAGUGUUUCCAGAAGCUGGAGGCCAACAGGAGCUGAUUCAAAGCUGCACAGAGCCCAUUUACAUGCAGCCUAAGUUAUGUUUGUUUGUUAUCAUUGCCACAUGUCCCCACAUCACAUGCAGCCAAUCAUAAAGUUACUCACAAUAGAGCUCAAGGAUUUUACAUUUGCACCAUUUCAUUCUUGUGAUAGUUAAACUGAGUUAUUAGGAUAAAAUCCUUUUCAAAACAGCCAAAUAAACCUGCCAUAAAAACAGGCAUGUAUCUGACUGUGUCAGCUGAGUUAUUAGUUACAACUCACCCAGCUUUUUCAUUGGCUGUCCUCUUACAUGUGACCUUGGCUACAUUUUUGCUGAGUCAGAGUUUUCUAUCAGAUUUCUCCACCCUGAGGUCAGGGGUCAGCUCUGUCUCACACUCAGUACAAACCACCAGCAUCACUCAGUCUGCAGGUGUCACAUUAGUCGACUGGUAGUGACGGUUGUGCCGAUGCAGUGGAUUUACCACAUGUGAACUUCCUGCAGUAUUUUGACACAGAUGUGCAUUCAGAUCUAUCCAACUGAGCCUGUCUUGGAUCAGCACAACCACCACGAGCAGCCCUCUAACAUCACACCUCAGCCUGUGGAAUAUUCACCUGUUAGUACUGAGCUGGAGAGAAACUGAGCCUGUCAGCCACAGAUCACUAAACUGUUGUCCUACAGACAACUCUGCAAACACAUCUUUACAUCCUGUCACACAUCAUUUGCACCUUUGGAUGAACUUUAGCAAAGGUCACGUAUUAAAAAACAAAAACAGCCGAUUGAAAAGCCUGGCUGAGUGAUAACAGACAGGUUUCAAUAUGUGCACAAGGAUCUCCACACAGAGCUACAUGAAUUCAUAUGGACUGAAAUAAAAACGGUUUUACUGCAAUAACAGCUCCAUAAGGUAACUCCCAUUCCCAGCAACACACCCACUGUGUUUAAGGU
ensembl:lncRNA